rnacentral:rRNA from 1 species
UACGGGGGGGGCAAGCGUUGUUCGGAAUUACUGGGCGUAAAGGGCGCGUAGGCGGCGUAACAAGUCACUUGUGAAAUCUCCGGGCUUAACCCGGAGCGGCCAAGUGAUACUGUUGUGCUAGAGUGCGGGAAGGGGCUACUGGAAUUCUCGGUGUAGCGGUGAAAUGCGUAGAUAUCUGGAGGAACACCGGUGGCGAAGGCGGCAUCCUGGACCAAUAUUGACGCUGAGGAGCGAAAGCCAGGGGAGCAAACGGG